AGAAUAAGAGAUAGCGCAUGAUACCAUAUUGUCAAACCCAUCUGCGAUCCAUAUACAGAUUGCUGGGUUCUUCCACCGAAUAAAAUGAUGAGAUGUUUUUAAAGGGGCCGCUUCGUCCAGGGGUUGUGGCGUACAAUUUUCAUCAUGGUCCUGUUACGCACGCUAAACUGGGGUCUCCCUGGCUUAUCUCGCCAUCUUACCAUUCUCUCUUAGCUCGCUAGGGGUCCCGUUCUCUGCAUAAUUGUUUCUAUUACCAUUAUAUCUCUUAGCUCAGUAUCUUACCAAUCUCUUCCAUUCCCUCGUUAAUUUAAUCCCCUUCACCGUCUCCAUCUGUAUCGUUUUCAACUCCAACAAAAAGGUGCACUAUGAUGUAUUCAUAAACCAUUGUGGCCCUGACACCAAACAAACCCUAGCCGCCUCAAUCUACCGUGUCCUCAAACUCACGGGAAGAAGAGCUUAAUCUUGGUGAUUUCAUACUAUCUGAAAUACAACUCUUCCAAACAUGGAUGCAAUGAUAGCAAUAUGAAGGAAAGUUGUAGUGAUGGCGUGUUGUAUUUCAGAUGGUAUGGAAUCACCAAUAUUAACAUCAGUAUUAGAAAACACAGGAUAUAGAUCUAGCAGGACACUUAUUGGGAAACAGUGAACGCACAAAUCGUGUUAUGGAAAUGCAGGAAUUUGAUUAAGCUCGAGAUAGUGAUUAAGUCAUCAACAUCUGAUUAUUAAUUCCUGCCUAUCUAGAAGAGACUUGUGUUUUCACUCUCCUAUUAGUAAAUAAUGUACAUCUCUGGCUCAUGGAGUGCAGUAGAGGCCGUGUGACGUGCCUUGUCUACGCUACUACAUUUUCUCAUACAUGUCUAUUAAGGGAGUUGCAACAUCAUUCAAAAGCUCCCAUUUCAGCGCAGGCAUGAAGCAAAACAUGUAGCAGCUGCAACACAACCUCUUGCAGAUGAUGAUGAUGAUUCUUUUGAGUAAAUGUUUGUUUAGUCCAUACUUUGAAUGCUUCUGCAUUGUUACGGUGGCAGAAUUGAUUUGUUCUCUAAUUCCUGUAGACGCUCCUUAUGGCUUCAAACCAAAUAUCUGGUGGUCAGAUGUGAUGUUUUAUAGGCUAUUUUGUUCAAUUUAGUAGGAUGCAUGCCUCAAAGGGAGGCUCAAUGCCUCUCACCAGCAGACAUCUUCUCAUCAAUAGAACUAAAAACAUGCAACACGGAUUACAAAGCUUAUUGCAAUGGAAACAACUAAACAGAGACCAAGAGGCUUGACUGGCAAUUAUUUUUGGCAGUACGUCUUUUUGAAAGAGCACUCUGCCAACGUGACAGUGAUGUUUUUUUGCCUUGUUAUAGAUUCCGGUCUUACGUAUUUGAAACAAGGAAAAUGGGUAUACAUAGGGGAAAGGACCCAGUCGUUGAGCAUGUUCUAAUGAUAGCAUUUGCUGAUUAAUGCCCACACUUGUUGAUUUAAUUCUCAAUAUUUUUUGACAACAUUGCAUCAAUAGUUGUGACUUUAAAGUUGUUAUUGUGAUGAUGACUACCCAUAAUUGAAUGAAAUAUAUCCCUAAACACUAAAAAGCAACAAAUCAUGUGAUGCCACAUCAGCGCACACAUGUCGGUCUUACUUUUGCACAAGUAUUGGUCUCAUUUUUUUUGUACUGUUUUGGACACCUUGGCAAAAAGCAUACUGAUGUGGCAUCAUAUUUGAUGA